GAUGAACGCUGGCGGCGUGCCUAACACAUGCAAGUCGAGCGAUUCUCUUCGGAGAAGAGCGGCGGACGGGUGAGUAACGCGUGGGUAACCUGCCCUGUACACACGGAUAACAUACCGAAAGGUAUGCUAAUACGAGAUAAUAUGCUUUUGUCGCAUGGUAGAAGUAUCAAAGCUCCGGCGGUACAGGAUGGACCCGCGUCGGAUUAGCUAGUUGGUAAGGUAACGGCUUACCAAGGCGACGAUCAGUAGCCGACCUGAGAGGGUGAUCGGCCACAUUGGAACUGAGACACGGUCCAAACUCCUACGGGAGGCAGCAGUGGGGAAUAUUGCACAGUGGGCGAAAGCCUGAUGCAGCAACGCCGCGUGAGCGAUGAAGGCCUUUGGGUCGUAAAGCUCUGUCCUCAAGGAAGAUAAUGACGGUACUUGAGGAGGAAGCCCCGGCUAACUACGUGCCAGCCGCCGCAGUAA
rnacentral:rRNA from 1 species